CCUUAGCUCAGUUGGUAGAGCAAUUGACUCUUAAUCAAUGGGUCCAGGGUUCGAAUCCCUG
rnacentral:tRNA from 1 species